UUUACUCGGGGAUAGCCUUUCGAAAGAAAGAUUAAUACCCGAUAGCAUAAUGAUUCCGCAUGGUUUCAUUAUUAAAGGAUUCCGGUAAAGGAUGGGGAUGCGUUCCAUUAGGUUGUUGGUGAGGUAACGACUCACCAAGCCUUCGAUGGAUAGGGGUUCUGAGAGGAGGGUCCCCCACAUUGGAACUGAGACACGGUCCAAACUCCUACGGGAGGCAGCAUG
rnacentral:rRNA from 1 species